rnacentral:rRNA from 1 species
CCUACGGGUGGCAGCAGUGAGGAAUAUUGGUCAAUGGACGCAAGUCUGAACCAGCCAUGCCGCGUGCAGGAAGACGGCUCUAUGAGUUGUAAACUGCUUUUGUACGGGAGUAAACGCAGAUACGCGUAUCUGUCUGAAAGUAUCGUACGAAUAAGGAUCGGCUAACUCCGUGCCAGCAGCCGCGGUAAUACGGAGGAUUCAAGCGUUAUCCGGAUUUAUUGGGUUUAAAGGGUGCGUAGGCGGUCGGAUAAGUUAGAGGUUAAAUCCCGAGGCUCAACUUCGGAAUUGCCUUUGAUACUGGUAGGCUAGAGAGUAGUUGCGGUAGGCGGAAUGCAUGGUGUAGCGGUGAAAUGCUUAGAGAUCAUACAGAACACCGAUUGCGAAGGCAGCUUACCAAGCUACUUCUGACGUUGAGGCACGAAAGCGUGGGGAGCAAACAGGAUUAGAUACCCGUGUAGUC